rnacentral:rRNA from 1 species
AAUUUUGGACAAUGGGGGAAACCCUGAUCCAGCCAUCCCGCGUGUAUGAUGAAGGCCUUCGGGUUGUAAAGUACUUUUGGCAGAGAAGAAAAGGUAUCUCCUAAUACGAGAUACUGCUGACGGUAUCUGCAGAAUAAGCACCGGCUAACUACGUUCCAGCAGCCGCGGUAAUACGUAGGGUGCAAGCGUUAAUCGGAAUUACUGGGCGUAAAGUGUGUGUAGGCGGUUCGGAAAAAGAUAUGUGAAAUCCCAGGGCUCAACCUUGGAACUGCAUUUAUAACUGCCGAGAUAGAGUAUGACAGAGGGGGGUAGAAUUCCACGUGUAGCAGUGAAAUGCGUAGAUAUGUAGAGGAAUACCGAUGGAGAAGGCAGCCCCCUGGGAUAAUACUGGCGCACAGACACGAAAGCGUGGGGAGCAAACA